rnacentral:lncRNA from 1 species
CAGAAAACUUACAGGCAGCAGAGGAUGGGAUGAUAUAUUAAAAGUGCUGAAAAAAAGAAAAAAACCCUGGCAACCCAGGAUACUAUACUCAGCAAAGUUAUCUUUUAUAAGGGAAAGAUAAAUAAUUGCCCACUAUCUGCUAAUGAAAUACAGUGCAGUAGUUGUUCAAGACGUUUUUCAAAGGAGAUGAGAGACUCGAAGAUGAAAAGCAUAGUGGCAGCCACAAACAAGGUCUCACUACAAUGACUAUACAACUGAGAUAUUUUGCAGUUCUUUUAUAUCCUUUCUAAUUUUUUUCUCACAGGCGCCUCUGCCUCAGGUGCCUCCCAGCUCCGGUUCCCUUCCAGAAUGCCACCUCCCUUCCACUGCCUCCCAGGACCUUUGCACUCCUCUGCCUUCCAGGGCACGUCUUCAGGCCUCCUGGACCAGCCCCUGCCUGUCGGAUGUGGACCCCUCAGAGGGAUGACAGGACCCCCUGACUGUGAGUGCCCUUGCCCUUCUCUGGGUUCUGGGAAGCAAGGGCUGGGAACACUCUGCUCACUGGAAAACACAUG